rnacentral:rRNA from 1 species
UAAUACGGAGGGGGCUAGCGUUGUUCGGAAUUACUGGGCGUAAAGGGCGUGUAGGCGGCCCGUCAAGUCAGGCGUGAAAGCCCUGGGCUUAACCUAGGAGGUGCGCUUGAAACUGAUGGGCUUGAGGCCGGGAGAGGAGAGUGGAAUUCCCAGUGUAGAGGUGAAAUUCGUAGAUAUUGGGAAGAACACCAGUGGCGAAGGCGGCUCUCUGGUCCGGUUCUGACGCUAAUGCGCGAAAGCGUGGGGAGCAAACAGGAUUAGAUACCCUGGUAGUCCACGCCGUAAACGAUGAGUGCUAGACGUCAGGCGGCCUAGCCGUUUGGUGUCGCAGCUAACGCAUUAAGCACUCCGCCUGGGGAGUACGGCCGCAAGGCUA